UAGGGAAUUUUCGGCAAUGGGGGAAACCCUGACCGAGCAACGCCGCGUGAAGGAAGAAGGUUUUCGGAUUGUAAACUUCUGUUAUAAAGGAAGAACGGCGGCUACAGGAAAUGGUAGCCGAGUGACGGUACUUUAUUAGAAAGCCACGGCUAACUACGUGCCAGCAGCCGCGGUAAUACGUAGGUGGCAAGCGUUAUCCGGAAUUAUUGGGCGUAAAGAGGGAGCAGGCGGCAGCAAGGGUCUGUGGUGAAAGCCUGAAGCUUAACUUCAGUAAGCCAUAGAAACCAGGCAGCUAGAGUGCAGGAGAGGAUCGUGGAAUUCCAUGUGUAGCGGUGAAAUGCGUAGAUAUAUGGAGGAACACCAGUGGCGAAGGCGACGAUCUGGCCUGCAACUGACGCUCAGUCCCGAAAGCGUGGGGAGCAAAUAGGAUUAGAUACCCUAGUAGUCCACGCCGUAAACGAUGAGUACUAAGUGUUGGAUGUCAAAGUUCAGUGCUGCAGUUAACGCAAUAAGUACUCCGCCUGAGUAGUACGUUCGCAAGAAUGAAACUCAAAGGAAUUGACGGG
rnacentral:rRNA from 1 species